GAUGAACGCUGGCGGCGUGCCUAACACAUGCAAGUCGAGCGAUUCUCUUCGGAGAAGAGCGGCGGACGGGUGAGUAACGCGUGGGUAACCUGCCCUGUACACACGGAUAACAUACCGAAAGGUAUGCUAAUACGAGAUAAUAUGCUUUUAUCGCAUGGUAGAAGUAUCAAAGCUUUUGCGGUACAGGAUGGACCCGCGUCUGAUUAGCUAGUUGGUAAGGUAACGGCUUACCAAGGCGACGAUCAGUAGCCGACCUGAGAGGGUGAUCGGCCACAUUGGAACUGAGACACGGUCCAAACUCCUACGGGAGGCAGCAGUGGGGAAUAUUGCACAAUGGGCGAAAGCCUGAUGCAGCAACGCCGCGUGAGCGAUGAAGGCCUUCGGUCGUAAAGCUCUGUCCUCAAGGAAGAGUAAUGACGGUACUUGAGGAGGAAG
rnacentral:rRNA from 1 species